rnacentral:rRNA from 2 species
CCCCUWGUAACGGCGAGUGAAGCGGCAAGAGCUCAAAUUUGAAAUCUGGCUCCUCCGGGGUCCGAGUUGUAAUUUGCAGAGGAUGCUUCGGGUGCGGUCCCCGUCUAAGUACCCUGGAAUGGGUCGUCAUAGAGGGUGAGAAUCCCGUCUGGGACGGGUGGCCGUGUCCGUGUGAAGCUCCUUCGACGAGUCGAGUUGUUUGGGAAUGCAGCUCUAAAUGGGUGGUAAAUUUCAUCUAAAGCUAAAUAUUGGCCGGAGACCGAUAGCGCACAAGUAGAGUGAUCGAAAGAUGAAAAGCACUUUGAAAAGAGAGUUAAACAGCACGUGAAAUUGUUGAAAGGGAAGCGCUUGCGACCAGACUCGCCCGCGGGGGUUCAGCCGGUACUCGUACCGGUGUACUCCCCCGUGGGCGGGCCAGCGUCGGUUUGGGCGGCCGGUCAAAGGCCUCCGGAAUGUAUCGCCCUUCGGGGCGUCUUAUAGCCGGGGGUGCAAUGCGGCCAGCCUGGACCGAGGAACGCGCUUCGGCUCGGACGCUGGCGUAAUGGUCGUAAGCGGCCCGYCUUGAAACACGGACCCAA